rnacentral:lncRNA from 1 species
UAAAAUAUUGUUAUUUAACAGCACCAAUAUUUUAUUCCAGAUAGAAAGACAUUAAUAUUACAUUGUCAAUAGUAUACUUAGCUUGACAAUCUCAUUUUGGAUCAGCAAUAAAUUUUAAUUGCUUGGUUUCAAAUAUCCCUAUGGGCCAUUUCAAUUUACUACAAAAUCUUGAUGACUUUCAGAUAUGAAGUAAUAUUUAUUUAAAAUGUAAUCUCCUCCUCACACCAAGAUGACAUUACAUGUUAUAAACUAAACAUAUAUUUAACAUUGUCAGUUUCAAUUUUCUAAACACUUACAACUGGCUGAAUUGAGAUCUUACUGCAUCAUACAUUUGUGUAUCUGUUUUGUAACAGAAUUGAAACAACCUUAAUAACUAUCUGCAAUCAUUACAAAUUAACUUUGAAAUAACUCAGAUUCUACUGGUUUAAAUUUACUUAUUUCAAGUUUAUAUUUUCCCUGAAUUUUAUCUUUUGUUUUGGUUUUCUUUCAACCUUCCAUGGUUUAAAUCAGCAUUACCCAUUUUUUAUUGAACAACCAAAGAAUAUGAUCUCUAUGCUGAUGUAGACAAAUAUGUAACUGUAUUAUACAAAGGUUAGGCUACUACAUUCAAAGUUGACUAAAUAAAAUGAACAGAAACAUUCUUAAAACAAAAAACAAAUAUUCUGCAAUAAAUUAAAAUAUAACAAUUUUUCAUGCUAGAAAGAUACAAAACAAAAUUUGCAUGUUCUUUAGAGAUGUAACCUGAUAUCCUUCAAAACUAAUUUCAAAAUAGAAGAAGGUUUAAACAAUCUGAAUAUUAAAAUCUUAAAGCAUGAAAUUGAUAUCUCCUUGUCUAACUUUAUUUAUAAGAUACAUUUAAGUACUCAAGAACAUUUAGUUCUCAUUUUUUUCAAUUACCUAAUUGGAAAUUAAAUCGGUGUCUUCCUCCUAUUCCCACUUUUUAAAAAUACUAUUCCUUCUAUUCCCACUUGCAAAUAACAAUAGA